rnacentral:rRNA from 1 species
UACGUAGGUGGCAAGCGUUAUCCAGAAUUAUUGGGCGUAAAGAGCUUGUAGGCGGUUUGUCGCGUCUGCUGUGAAAAUCCGGGGCUCAACCCCGGACUUGCAGUGGGUACGGGCAGACUAGAGUGUGGUAGGGGAGACUGGAAUUCCUGGUGUAGCGGUGAAAUGCGCAGAUAUCAGGAGGAACACCGAUGGCGAAGGCAGGUCUCUGGGACACUACUGACGCUGAGAAGCGAAAGCAUGGGGAGCGAACAGGAUUAGA